GUGGGGAAUCUUCCACAAUGGACGAAAGUCUGAUGGAGCAACGCCGCGUGAGUGAAGAAGGGUUUCGGCUCGUAAAGCUCUGUUGUCGGGGACGAAUGUGCAGUAUUUGAAUAAAGUACUGUAAUGACGGUACCUGACGAGGAAGCCACGGCUAACUACGUGCCAGCAGCCGCGGUAAUACGUAGGUGGCAAGCGUUGUCCGGAAUUAUUGGGCGUAAAGGGAGCGCAGGCGGGAAGGUAAGUCGGUCUUAAAAGUGCGGGGCUCAACCCCGUGAUGGGAUCGAAACUAUCUUUCUUGAGUGCAGGAGAGGAAAGUGGAAUUCCUAGUGUAGCGGUGAAAUGCGUAGAUAUGGGGAGGAACACCAGUGGCGAAGGCGGCUUUCUGGACGGUGUCUGACACUGAGGCGCGAAAGCCAGGGGAGCGAACGGGAUUAGAAACCCCUGUAGUCC
rnacentral:rRNA from 1 species